UUUUGGUUAUAAGGAACUUUUCUGGCCUUUCCUGAGUUGAAGCGAAUAGAAGACAAGAACAGCCGCCAGGUCUCCUCCAAACGACGCAGCAGUCUCACGAAGAACGACAGCGAACUCUCUAUCCUCUGCGACGUUGAUAUCGGCCUCUUCAUCUUCUCCGGCCGCAGCUGCCUCUUCGAAUUCUGCAGCGGUGACAGGUGGAAGCACAGUUCAACUUUUGUAGUGGCUGAUGCUGUCCUUGAGAGAAGACGCUUGAUUAUUGCUCCAUUUAUGUGUUCAUAAGGCUGUGCCAACUCGGGUGAGUAAUUUCUAGGGUUUCAAUCGUCAGUAUCAGAAGAUAAUUCUGAAUGGAUGCUCCUUGGUCACUCCGUGUAUUUCCCCGAGGGUAUUCAACUCAAAGUCUCAUUUCUCGGGUUCAUAUGGUGGCAUCCCUCCUCUGCCUUCCCGUGUUUCAUGUCGAAGCAUUAAAAGUUCAUGGAAACCCUUUCAAGGGCUGACAAUGCAGUCUUUCAUCGGUAUGUAGACAUGGUUGUUAAGUUGAUGCUCUCUCAUUUUUUUGAUUUAGGUUUCAUGUUUUGAAAUUAGAUGGAUUUGUGUAAUUGGAGUGAUUUUUGCAGUAAAAAAGCUUAGUUUCUUGUACCCAGAUUGUAUGAUGUUAGUUGAAGGAAUAUAUGGCUUUGGUUCUUGCUAAGUGAUGUUUUUUCUAUGUGGUCAUUUUUAUUCAAAAUCUUAGUUGAUCAAGGCUUGAAUUAUUUUGGCACGGGCUUCUUUCAGCCUACAUUAUCCAAUAAUGCAUACAUUGGAGGCAUGUAAUAAUGUCGGACUGCAUAUAUCUAGGAGGCAUAUGUUAUGGUAGAUUGAAGUCGUGAGAGUGUGUUAAGGCCGUGGAACAGAAGUAUUGCCUUCACAUUGCUGCUCUAGGAUUAUAUAACCGGAUUGGGAUGGGUCCUAUAAUGCAUAGUACAUAGCCAUUAAGACAUCUGUCAUAAGCUUCGACUGUGUGGCAUACCUAUUGAAUUUAUGGAUUUGUGUUCAAACAAAAUGGCAAACAGGAUUGUGACGCUCAUCAAUACACUUGUAAUAAAAGAACCAACUAUGGUAAGCCAAACCAUGAUUUGAAUUUAUGUUUUCGCCCUCUGAAGUUUUCCUUGCUGUUUGGUCCUUGCAUGUGUGCAGCUGGGGUUAGUUUUGGUAUUUUGCCUUUGGGUUGGGAACGGUCGGUAGCGAUAGAGAUGAUAGGUGGUUCUCCGGAAUUCACUCAGCAAAUUGGUGCUCUGCUUUCGGAUUUCACUGAUUUUUGGUCCUUAUUCAGCCGAUUGAUUUGUACUCAGUUUGACCCUUCCGAAUUUUCCAGUGAUCGUACCCUAACCUUUACCAGUUUUUUCGUUGCUUUGCCGGGAAGCAAGAACUACAGAGAAAGUAAAAUUGAAGAAGAAGUUGCCGACAAAGAUGAACACACUUGAAAACCUAUCCACCUCGAAACGAAAUACGCAUAACACUAAAUCUGCAGAUGUAGUGUGAACUGUGAAGCCGUUUUCAGGGGUUUGUGCUGCAUCUGACAUAUGGAGUGUUGGCUGCACAAUGAUUGAACUUCUUACAUGCGUGCCUCCAUACUAUGAUCUCCAGCUCUUCCAAAUCGUCCAGGUUUCUUUUCUUUGUGUUAUACAGUUUGUACUGCUCUCAUGAUGAAACAGUUGUGAUCCCUAAAUGCCUUGUUCUUCUGUGGUGGUUAUACUUGAUCUUUAAUUAUCUUUAGUAGUAAUUGGAGUCCAUUUUUUUCCAUUGUUCAUUCUGGAUGUAUAGUCAAGAAUAUUGCUUAAUAUCUCUCGGAAGUCAACUGGACCAUUUUGAUAUUGUGUAUUAGAUUGGGAAUCUUGGAAAUAGCAAUAGCAACUGGAUUUUCCUUUUUGAUUUCUCUGGAUGAGCAUCCUCCAAUACUAGACGGUCUAUCUCCUGACAUUACUGAUUUUCUAUCUACAAAAGCUUGUUUCUACUGUCUCUCCAUCUGCCGGUGGAAUUGAUACAGUAAGUACUCUAUCUCAUUUCUCAAUCUCUGCCUCUCUUAGUAUUUUAGAUUUAUUGAUUUCUCCUUGUGCCAUGCGUUUCUCUCGAUCUCAUUUCUCAAUCUCUGCCUCCCAAUUUGUGAUGUUUGGGGGUGAUUUUGGGUUAUCUGGAUAAUUUCUACCCAUUGUUGAAGCUGAAUAUGGCCAUGGGAUAAGCUAUAACAGGCAAGUUCUACGAGCUUCCAGAUUUGCAUCCUCUACUUAAAGGGGUUAGACUCUUACAUGUUUAGAUGCACACUCUAAUUCAAUGGACUUGCUAAAAUUACAGUUGGACAAUCGAGAACCAGAUGACCCAUGCUCAUACCUUCUUGCUAUAUGGACACCUGGGAAGUACAACACAAUAGUUAAGGUGGCUCAUAACAUCGCUAGAACAAUACCGAUGCAUGAUGAUCUAUACAUAAUCUAGAAGACAUGAGCGUCUACCUCAGCCCCUCUGCAAUCUCAUUGCGAGACUAAGCACGAGGUCAAUGUGGACAGUUGGACAAUUAGCUCAUUCAUUUUUAAUCCUGCUCUGAUUUUGCUAAUUGAUUCUACUUUAUGUCCAAUGUCAU